rnacentral:snRNA from 1 species
GAAAGUUAUCUGGUUAUCUGACUGUAUAUAUCUGUUAGCUACCCCAUUGAUCCCCAGCGUUAAUUUGGCUGAUCUAGCUAGUUAGCAGGUGUUCUGUUCCUCCCUCACUGCUCCCAUGUGUACCCCUCCUGAAGAUGUACACUCUAUCAAAGAGGACAACCUUCCCCAAUAGAGAAGAACCAGUGUUCAGUCAAGAGUAGCUGUUUUCCCCUGCUAGAACUUCCAAGCAAGUUUUCAAAAGUAACACUACUUACUGAUUCAAGGCAUUUAAAGAACCCAUUUUCUAACUGGCGUAGGCAGUUGCUCAGAUGUCAGGCUUA